rnacentral:rRNA from 1 species
CGCAGUAGGAUAGGCGAAGCGUGCGAUUGGAUUGCACGUCUAAGCAGUAAGGCUGAGUAUUAGGCAAAUCCGGUACUCGUUAAGGCUGAGCUGUGAUGGGGAGAAGACAUUGUGUCUUCGAGUCGUUGAUUUCACACUGCCGAGAAAAGCCUCUAGAUAGAAAAUAGGUGCCCGUACCGCAAACCGACACAGGUAGUCAAGAUGAGAAUUCUAAGGUGAGCGAGCGAACUCUCGUUAAGGAACUCGGCAAAAUGACCCCGUAACUUCGGGAGAAGGGGUGCUCUUUAGGGUUAACGCCCAGAAGAGCCGCAGUGAAUAGGCCCAAGCGACUGUUUAUCAAAAACACAGGUCUCUGCUAAACCGUAAGGUGAUGUAUAGGGGCUGACGCCUGCCCGGUGCUGGAAGGUUAAGAGGAGUGGUUAGCUUCUGCGAAGCUACGAAUCGAAGCCCCAGUAAACGGCGGCCGUAACUAUAACGGUCCUAAGGUAGCGAAAUUCCUUGUCGGGUAAGUUCCGACCCGCACGAAAGGCGUAACGAUUUGGGCACUGUCUCAACGAGAGACUCGGUGAAAUCAUAGUACCUGUGAAGAUGCAGGUUACCCGCGACAGGACGGAAAGACCCCGUGGAGCUUUACUGUAGCCUGAUAUUGAAAUUCGGCACAGCUUGUACAGGAUAGGUAGGAGCCUUUGAAACGUGAGCGCUAGCUUACGUGGAGGCGCUGGUGGGAUACUACCCUAGCUG